rnacentral:lncRNA from 1 species
AUACAUCCCUAUAAUGUUCAACUUUUUAUACUUGUUCCUACAAAAGUCCAGAUCCGUUAGAAAAAAAUAUAGUUAAUCAGAGUCCGGCUAUGAUGCUUGUAAAAGUACAAAGUAUUUGGUGCUUGUAAAUUUUUUGCUGUUAGAUCUACGCCUUUAAUCAUUUUCACCUGUUAGAUUAUACCAUUCAACCAACCACCCAGUUAACCCUAGGGGGCCCACAUCAUCUUAACCGCACAUUCCUUAAUCCAAGGGCUAAAAACUUACAAGCACCAAUGACUUGGUACUUUUAAAAGUAUAUGAGCUCAAUUUUAGUUAAUCAUACAUAAAAUACUUAACCCUGAUUAGUGAAUAUGAUAAAUUGACAUUUUUAGCCCUUUUAUAUUACUUGUGAUGGUAGAAAAAAAGAAAAUGAUUGUUGGAGAUUUUUAGAAGGAUAUUUCUGCAUAAUUCGAACAGUUGGUGCUUUUGGAGGAAUAUAUUUGCAAUGGCAAAAAUUUCAUUUUACUUAUUUUCUAUUAAAAAGUAAGCAAUUCUCUAACGAUAACAAACGAAAGAGUCAAAUAUGAAUAUCACAGGACUUUUGCAGAGAUAAACAUGAAAAGUUAAAGUUUGUAGGGAUAUAUUUGCUAUUCGAUAUAUUUACAAAGAUCUGUAUGAAAUUAAUCCUAUUUAUUAUUGAACUAUUUAUGUUAUUUAAUUAUGGGUAAAUUGCAGAAACUAUACAAUGGGUGGCACUUUAAUUCUCAAUUUUUAAUUUAUUAUAAUUUUUUAUUUGUAUUUUUAGAAAUAUUAUAAUAUUAUAAUAAAGGCUUAUAAUCCAAUUUAAUUGGAUGCAUAUUAUUAUAUCACUAACAUACAAGGGACAUAACAGUGUUAUGAUUAAUGAUGCGUCAAUAAUUAAGAUGUUACAUUUCUUUUACAUGAACGAUAUAUUAAAAUUUAGUAAAUUAAAUUGAAUUAGGGGACUUAAUUAUAAUAAUUUUGAAAAUUUGAGCUAGAAAUUAAAAUUUAAAAACUAAAGUGUCACCUGCGGCGUAAUUUGAAGACCAAACAUAUAAUUUAUCUUAUUAAAAAUAUUGUAUUAAACUUUGGUAAAAACGUUUAAAACUUAUCUCAACUAUCACCAAUUUUGGUCUAACUAUCUGAUAUUUAAAAAUUUUAAUUUUACUAUCGAACCUUUUAAUUUAUUUUAUCUGAGUCAAUCAGUGAUCUUUUAAGUUCAAAAUUUCAACGCAUCGUUUAUCUUAACAGGUUUAAUUAAUAUAUUUUAUAUAAUUUUUGUAACUAUAAAUUUAUUAAAAUAAAUAAUUAGCUUAAAUUUUAUAUU